CUCCGGGGUCACGGCAAGAUGGCGCUGCCCAGGGGCCGCUGAGCCGAGUUCUUGCAGCAGGUGUUGAUGGAGGUCAGAGAGUUUGUGGCGUCGUUGGUGGCUGGUGGUAUGGCAGGGAUGUGUGUAGAUCUGACCCUGUUCCCACUGGACACCAUGAAAACCAGACUACAGAGUCAACAGGGGUUCUAUAAGGCUGGAGGAUUUCGUGGGAUUUAUGCUGGUGUUCCUUCUGCAGCUAUAGGAUCUUUUCCCAAUGCUGCUCUUUUCUUUGUUACCUACGAGUGCACAAAAUCUAUGCUGGGUCCUCAGAUUUCUACAAAAAAGGCUCCACUUCUACAUAUGUUUGCUGCUUCUCUGGGGGAGGUGGUCGCAUGUCUCAUUAGGGUUCCUACUGAAGUUGUCAAACAGCGGUCCCAAGCUUGCCCCACCCUGGGUACUUACAAGGUGUUUAUUGAGACAAUAAAGCAAGAGGGUAUCCAAGGACUCUACAGGGGCUUUGGAAGUACAGUGAAACGAGAGUUCCGUGACCUCGCCUCAAAUUCUAUCACUCAUCUACGCAUUCAGAGCAAUUUACAGUGGCCAAUUAACCUACCAACCCAUAGGUUUUUGGAAUGUGGGAAAGAAUUGGAGCGCCCAGAGGAAACCCAUGCAAUCAUGGGGAAAAUGUGGAAACUCCACACACAGCACUGGAGGUCAGGAUCAAACCUGACUUGGUGGAGCUGUGAGGUAUAACUGAUUUACAAUCUGCAAUGUUUCAAUGUUGAGAAUUUGAAGGCAAAAAUAUGGAAAUAGAUAAUGGAAGGCUGUGGAAUAUUCAUUCAUUUCGAGAAGGUGGAACGUCUGAUAAAACUUAAGUGAAUGAUGAUUUUGAGAAUCUUUCUUGCAAGUGAACUAUCUACAAUGCAGUUAGGGGCAAUUUUGUAGCGAUCACUAUAAAUAUGCCGCUUGUUCAAGUUUUAUUGAAAAGUUGAAGAGUUG